UACGUAGGGGGCAAGCGUUGUCCGGAAUCAUUGGGCGUAAAGCGCGUGUAGGCGGUUCGAUAAGUCUGCUGUGAAAGUCCAGGGCUCAACCCUGGGAUGCCGGUGGAUACUGUCGGACUAGAGUACGGAAGAGGCGAGUGGAAUUCCCGGUGUAGCGGUGAAAUGCGCAGAUAUCAGGAAGAACACCCGUGGCUAAGGCGGCUCUCUAGUACGGUACUGACGCUGAGACGCGAAAGCGUGGGGAGCGAACAGG
rnacentral:rRNA from 1 species